AGUAGCAUUUCUAUUUUCCUUUCCGCAUUUAUGGGGCUUUUUCCUGUUCUCAUUUGGACCUCCAACGGGUCAUAUAGGUUAUACAUAUAUAGUUUAAUCUAAGUUUUAGGUAUUUUUUAAAGAAGUUUUCAAAUCCACCCGGACUCAAAAUUUAAGUACGAAUUUCCCUAUACCGGAAGUUACUGAGUUUCGUAGAACUUAUUUCGUCUUUAGUGGCACUACAGCACACAUCAAAUUUAUUAAAAUUGAUAAAAUUAUUGAUAAGUAAACAACUCCUUGAAUACGUGUAAAAUAGCUGCGUUUUGUAGCGUUGUUUUAUGAUAGAAAGACCAAUUUUUAAUCCUGACAUACUAUCACCUAUCAAUAAAAAUAAAUACAAACUUAAUGAAAAUGAUUAAGUACCUAUACCAUGAAUGAACCAAACUUUAUAUUUUUCCUUACUAUCAUUUAUUUAUCGUUUGUAUGAAAGAAAAUAAUAAUAAGUUCUUGAUGAUAGUAGUUUUGCUUGUCAGAUACGAUUCGUAUUGUUUUUAUUAAUUACUUUUUGUUUUCAUUAAUUUUUCCAACGUCAUCAUUUAUUAUCAGUAGGUAUCUAGCACGUUCACAAUCGAUAAAACAAUCGCCUGAUUCAGUUCAACCUAUAAAAUUUCACUUUCCGUAAUACAAAAUCGAUUAAUCGUAAAUAUCUAUUACAAAUGUCGGCUUUUCGAUUUAAAUAACAUUUAACUUAACAUACAGCAUUUAAAUUAUAAGGCUAUUUGUUAAAUAUAUAAAUAACUACUUCUUAUACUAAUUUUUUUCUCUGUGAAGUACUGCCUGGUUACGCUGACUCUCAGAGGAUUAAAAAAUGGGAAAAACACAGUAUUUGAAGUCCUUUUCCGUUACCAUAUAUUACUGCUUCGUUAACAUCUGUUUUGCUGUAAUUAUUCUGUUUUCAAUUAUUUUCCAUUUAAUGGCAAACAUUAGAAUUCGUAACGAAUAUUACCAUAAGUUUUGUCUUUCAUGAUGAAAAAAAUUUCAAAUACUCGAUGGGACCUGGAUUCGUACCAUUAGGUACUUUUGCAAACUGUUUGAUCUAUCAAAACCCUCCCUGUUUGUGAAAAGAAUGAAAACUCGAAUGUAGUGAUAUUUAUCUGUAUAUAAUUUAUUUAGUCUUAAUACUUACAAUAAACAUUAUCAUAAAGCUUAAA